GAACGUUCCAACAGGAAUCCGUUCCAAAAACGUCGUAAAUAACAAGGUUGCCAACAAACAACGCAUACAAAGUUGUAUAGCGGCAGUGUAAAAUACCAGGUAGAGAGCGGGCAAUUUUGUUGAGUUUUUCACUCACCACGUUUAUUCCGAAAAAUGUCUGUCCUCACUCUGGUAGCCUAUGGACAAACAAUAAUAAGCUACGUGUUUCACCACGUUCUCCACCGGGGUCAGUGUCGCACCAGACGGCGGGCAUCAUCGGUCCCGGGAAUCUUCCGUUUCACCCCUGCCUUUACACAGGAACAGUGGGUUAACUGCCUUGUUCAGGGGCAGAACGACAGAUUUGUACCUUGUCAGCUCAGGAUUCGAUCUUGCAACCUUUCGGUAACUAGUCCAAUAAGGUAAGAUUUUUCAUGAAGUGCUUUGAGAGGCUAGUUAAGGAUCAUAUUAUCUCCACCUUACCCAACACCUUAGACCAGUGGGGUGGGGGGAUACAUUUGGGGAUAGAAAAAUGCAUUUUGUGUAAACUUAAACCGCUAAAACCGAUUUUAAAAAUAUAUAUAUAUUUUGUAAUAUAAUGGACAUUUUCCAAUAACAGCCCAUCAUUUUUCAGAAUUUACAAUCAACACAAUAAAAGCUAGACAAUAAGGCCCCCAUUGAUUUUGUUAAAAUGUUUGAGAAUAACACAGCAUUCGACAUGUCAAAAUGCGUAGAAUGCUGCCAAAUGUUCUCUACCUCAAGGCAAAAUGUAUAGAAUUGCAGAAAAUUGGCUUUAACAGUUUUAAACUUUAUUACAGCUCCAUGGCAGGAUGUGUGGAAUUGCAGGAGACUAGCUUUGAAACUGCAAAAAUGUAUCUUCGCUGCCAAGAUAACUUUUUUUUACUUAUUCUUUGGUCUGAAUGUUUUUUCACCACUCAACCCUUAUGGUGGGUCACGACUCAAAAUACCCCUCCCCUACACUAAUUACAAUUUGCAUACCGCCCCAAAAGAUCCAUGGAUAAUGCGAUCGCCAUUGCACUGCACACUGCCCUAUCCCAUCUGGACAAGAAGAAUACCUGUGUAAGAAUGCUGUUCAUCGGCUACAGUUAAGGCUUCUACGCCAUAAUGCCCUCCAAGCUCAUCACUAAGCUUGGGAAUCUUCGUCUGAAACCCGCCCUGUGCAACUGGGUCCUGGACUUGCUGACCCUCAACUGAUCCACAACACAGGAGCCCCACAAGGGGACGUGCUCAGCUCCCUCCUGUACUCAGCAUAGAGAGCACACCCCCAUCCACAUCGAUGAGGCCUUAGUGGAGAGGUUGAAAAGCUUCAUGUUCCUCAGCAUGCACAUCCCUGACAAUCUGAAAUGGUCCAUCCACACAGACAGUGUAGUGAAGAAAGUGCAACAGCGCUUGGCCCCUCAGACCCUGCACCGUUGAGAGCAUCUUGUCAGGCUGUAUCACCGCCUGGUACAGCAAUUGUACAUUCCUCAACCGUAGGGCUCUCCAGAGGGUGGUGCGGUCAGCCCAACGCAUCACCAGGGGCACACUUCCUACCCACCAGGACAUACAGUAUACAGCACCCAGUGUCACAGGAAGGCCAAGAAGAGUAUCAAGGACCUCCGCCACCGGAGCCACGGCCUGUUCACCACACUACCAUCUAGAAGGCAGAGACAGUACAGGUGCAUCAAAGCUUGGACCGAGAGACUGAAUAACAGUUUCUAUCUCAAGGCCAUCAGACUGUUAAAUAGUCAACACUAGCUGGCCUCCGACAAGUCUACUACCCUGAACUUAGUCACUGUUACUAGCCGGUUACCACCUGGUACUCAACCCUGCACCUUAGAGACUGCUGUCCUAUGUACAUAGUCAUUGAACACUGGUCACUUUAAUCAUCUUUACAUACUUUUUUUUACGCACAUCAUAUGUAUAUACUGUAUUCUAGUCGAGGCUCAUCUUAUAUAACUGCUGCUGUAAACAUAUUUUCUAUUCAUAUAUUGUCCAUAAUGUCUAUACACACCAUCAUAUACAAUAUGUGUGUAUGCGACCAAUACAUUUGAUAUGAUUUGAAUUGAAAACGCACAUAAUCUAACGCCUGCCUCAGACCACUCGUAGAACAGCUAAGUGCAUCGUUUGAUGCUUCGUUUUUUUGCCCUCCCUUGUCACUUUUAUACACAGAAGAGCUCUGCCAAACACAGAAUCAAUCACAUGGUUUAUCCACCUCUCUCUGACCUCCAAUAACUUCAAAACAAAGUUGCCAAUGUCUUUGCAAUAGAUACAAACCAGCAACGUAUAAAAUGAUGGUUCAUGCAAGACAACGUGAGUUAGCAAUAGCAUCACCUGCCCAUGUGGGAAAGCCUACAUAAGAUAAAUGACAAGACAAUUAAAACAACGCAUAGCUGAACACCGCAGCUCAAUCAGGUGUAAGAACACUGACUAUCCAGUAGCAGCUCACAUCCUAUCUCUUCCCUCAAAUACACAGGUAUCGAGCAUGUUCCCCUACCAAGGAGAGGAGGUAACAUUGAGACCCUACUACUACAGAGGGAGGCCUCCUGGUUAUCCUAACCAACAUUGACCCCUAGUGGUCUGAAUAUUGCCUUUGAUCUCAGGCCCUUCUUAUGAAUAAUUAUCUUUUAUUAACAAGUCUUAUAAAUGAAUAUAUUAUUUCUACAGCUUAUCAGCGUACACCCAAUAUGUUCCCCCUGUUGAUGAGGCUU